AGGCAGACGGUUCCUCCCCGAGGCUCCGCUAUCGACAGCUGGGGACCUAUCGGACCUUUGGCCUCGAAGCCUGAAGCCAAACCGAGCUAAAAACAUCAACAGCAGCCGGCUAGUCGAGACGAACAACUGGCUGGUAGGAGGAUAACGUGGAUUUAAACCUGCCAGUGGAUCGUAGGGUUCAGGAGGUUAAAACGUCUGAUGUGAAUCUGGUUGGAGGAGCAGCAGGAGAAACGUUGGAAGUGCAGCUGACACAACAACAACAACAACAACAACAAGAAGCUUCCUUCCAGCUUCUGUUUGCUCCAUUUGGUCCCGAUAAUCAACAAACACACUAACCUGAGACUGAAUAUCGUCAAUUCAUGGAGAGUUCCUCUGGCUGCUCCUCACAAUAACAACAACAACAACGACAACAACAACAACACAUCCUCUCCAGUAAACUCCCCUUGAGGCUGUGUAUCGACUGUCUGCCUCCUGAAUGAGCUCUAUGAAGCAGAACAUCACUGGUUCUGAAGCAACCAC